GAGAACGAUAAAAUAAGUACUAGAAUGAUAGAAUAAGUACUGGGGUCGAUUUGCUCGACUAAAGGCGGUGUUCUAGCAUGGCCGCAGUCAAAUGACUGAAACAAGUAGUAAAAGAGCAAAGAGUUAUAUCUUGUAAUUUCUACCUACUUUUAAUAAUUAAUCUAUGAAAAUUAAGGUUAACCUCCUGGCAGUGAUAGAUUUAUGCAUGUGCUGUACAAACCCUCAAUUAUUGAAGGUGCAGAGAAUGAUCAAAAGCUUUGCAGCUUAUAUUUAAGUCUCUUUACACUCUGCAUUCAAAUUCCACCUCAAACGCAUCCCAAUCCAACCCCGCCCACCACGGUGCAUUGUAAUCUUAGCUUAUUUCGUUGCUUAUUUGCAUGUUAUUGCUUGUGCAUAAUAAUUCUAUUUAUCAGUUUCACUUUGAUCUGUGACAACUCUUUGAUAUUUCAAGAAAAUCUCAUUUUGUUUGUUGUUUAUUUAUCCAUACUAUAUUUUAAAUGGUUGUUGUUUCCUUUCUGUGGUAGGGUACCAGAGGGGUUAAGUUUGUGAGGGCGAGGAAGAGAAGUAAAGGGGUUAAAAAAAUCUCAGGUAUUUUAAGGGAUCUCAUUAUUAUUAUUUUCUUAACUUUCUUAAGCGAAAUACUCUUUUGGGAUUUUUUAAAAUUAAAUUUUUAUUUUGAUGGAGAAAGAAAGCUGUGGAUGGAGGUGCAAGUACAAUUGUACGGAUCAACCUCAGUAUAUUACUGGUAUAUAUUUAAUUUCUCUAUGAUGGGAAAGAAAAAAGUUGAAAGUCUACUCCCAGCAAGAUUUUGAGUCCAGAAACAUGAAGCCCUCUCAACCAAAUUACAAUAAACUGAUUCUUUACCUUCUGUACAAUAAUAUUAACUGCCCUGUUAAGGAACAUGAGGCACAAGAGAAAUAGGAACGAGAAGUUAUGGCUUCAUGCUGAGACAGGGGACAACUCAUUACUGAUCUGUUCCUCUAUGUAAAAGAACAAUUUAAUAUUGAUCUGUGUUCUUUGACAAACAGAUCAAUCAUCUGUGGUGUGAAACUUUAAUAUCAAGAGAUCUGAUUUCCUCUACACCAACAUCAAGGAACAAUGUUGCACUGUUGUUAUUAUUGUUGUUGUUAUUGUUGUUGUUAUUAUUAUUAUUAUUAUUACUAUUAUUAUUAUUAUUAUUAGGGUGGUAGGUAGCAGAGCCAUCAGAGUGUCAGACAAAAUGCUGUUAAUAUUAUGAAUUCAAACCCUGCUGAGAUCAACUUUUGCUUUUCAUCCUUUCAGGAUCAAUAAAAUAAAGUACUACCCAUGUACUGGGGGGUUGAUGUAAUUGACUAACCUGUGCCCCCAGGCUUAGUGCUUUUUAUUAGAAAUAAUUAUCAUCGUUAUUUUGUAACUUAGGCACAAGGUCUGAAAUUUUGGAGGAGAGUGUUUAAUCAAUUAGAUCCCCCCCCCACAAAAAAAAAGAUAAAAUGGAUGGAAAGAAAAACUGACUCUGGCAGGAUUUGAACUCAGAAUGUAAACAGUUGAAACUAAUACUACAAAUCAAUUUUUCCUGAUGUUUUUUUUUUUUGCUAAUCUACCACCCUUAUUAUCACCAUCAAGACACUGUACUAUACGCUUCCUUUUUGGUAAGGAUCUGGAAUGCCUUUUGUAUUGCUCAGAUUCUGUGGAUUAUCAAGAAUAUUUUUUUUGAGUGGUUCUCUGAUGCCUCAAUAAUAACCAAAGUUUUUAUGAAUCCACAGAAUUUUACAAUUACUGAAAUGGACAGUAGUAGAACAAUUGCAGAAUAUUGAAACAUUGUGGGAUUCCUGAGACAACAUCAUAUUAUAAUGUUCUAACCCUCUGUAUAUCUCUCACCCAACAAUCAAGGGGUUAAUUUUGUAUUAGUAUCACCAUAUCUUAGAUAUUGUCAUAUGUGAUGUUAUUUAUCCAGUCUUAUUACUAUAGGGCAGUUCUUGGUAAUGAUAUUACUGAAACCUGAAGAUUUGGUUGGAGCAAUGGAGAGUUAUCUAAAUCAUUUGCCCACCUCACCCACUGAGAGGUUUUGUCACAAAGGGCCAAAAAUUAGUUGCCAUAAACAAUUUGAAUGGUUUUGUGUUAUAUAUAUAUAUAUAUAUAUAUAUGAUAUAUAAAUAUAUAUUUAAUCCAUAACUGUGAGUCUGACAAAAUAUAUUUUGUUCCAUCAGAAGGCUUUAUCAAGGAUGAAACAAAAUAUAUUAUGUCAGACUCUUGGUUAUGGGUUGAAUAUCUUGGUUCUCAGAUUUCUUGCUUUGAGUUCUUUAUUCUAAGUGGCCUGACAAUGUUCCAUUGAACCUAUCACUUCCACAAAUAUAUAUUAUUUUAUCAAAGCUGAAAAAAACUUCAGCUUACAUAACAUAGUAUAUAUUGUAUAUAUUUGUUUAUUUAUAAAUGUAUGUGUAUAAAGGUUUUACUGAGUCAAGUGUGUAGUUGUGAUAAUUUAAAAUUUUGUGUGAUUAUGUUAGUGUUUUUUUUCAUGUGCCCUACUAAUCAAUUUCAUGGUUGUCAAACUCUUCCACUUUGAUUUAUUUUCUUUUUUUCUUAUAAUUGUAAUAUCAUUUAUGCCUUUCACUAAUAUCGGUUUAAUAAUUUUUUUCCUCUUUCUUACAAAUAAUGACUAUAUAUAGAUAUGUUAAUGUUUGUUUUUUAUGUGAGGCUAUAUAUAAAAGCAGUUUAACAUUAAUCUGAAGAAUAUCUCAAUACUUUUUAGUAAGAGAUCCUUUCUGAGUCAUAUAGUCUCAUAGGGCUGGCUAACAUGGUUUCUGUGGCACAUGUAUUCUGCCCUAGUCUUGGACGGGAUGCUGGGCCAUCACUGGAUUACUCAUUUUUGCCUUCUGAGUGAGCUGGAGUAAUGUGAAAUGAAGUGUUUUGCUCAAGAACACAAUAAUCCAGGAAUUGAAAUCACAAUCUUACAAUCAUGAACCAAAUACCCUAACCACUAAGCUACUCCCCUCCACACUUUUUAGUAGAGUACAUAUUGAGUUUUGCAAGGAAAGUUUGACCGUGACCUUGGACUUCUUUACUGCAACCUUGGGUAGAUCCAAACCUUUUGAGGAAAUUUUCGUUGAUGGAAACUGUAGAAGCCUUUCAGAUGGUUUAUAGCUGUAAUUCAAAGAUUCAGUAUUGCCACACAUUGUAUCAUGCUGAUUCCACUUGAAAAUUAUGUAAUGGAUACAAGUGUCUAUGGAAUACUCAACCACUUUGUUUGCAAUUUCAUUGGGUAGUUCAAUGUAUCAAACAACUGUGGAAACUAGAGGAAACACCAAAAUGACUUCUGACAUUUAGUUUUGCUUCUCUGUGUUCCAAGUUCAAACCCUUCUGAAAUCAACUAUGCAUUUUAUCUUUCUAGGAGAAUUGGUAAAAUGAAGUAGCAGUUAAGUACAAGCAGGGGGAUGAUAAAAGGAAGAACCAGUUAAGUACUGGGAGAGGAUCACUAAAAUAAAGUACCAGUCAAGUGAGGGUAUAAGGUUUAUAUAAUAAAACACCAGUCAUAUGCAAAAGUAUGAGUUGAUAAAAUGAAGAACCAAUCAGAUACAAGGGAUUUGGUUAAGAGUGACCCUAUCCAUUCCCUGAACUUUGCCCAGUGCCUGUCUCAGAAAAGAUUGUGACACAUGGUGAUGUAUUAAGAUUGAGAAAAUUUAAACACUUAUUCCCCAAGCUUUGAAUACAAAUAUGGAUUUUUAUGAAGGAUAUUUGGAUGUAACACUGAGUUAGCAAAGUAACUACAUAGAAACGAAAUUUUAUUGCUUAAUUCCAGUUGUUUAAUUGUUUACAGCUAUGAAGUGAAUCUAGAUCGAAGUUUAAUUAUUAAGUAUUGACAGCCAUGAUUUUUGAAGGCCAUGAGUAAAAAAAAAAAUGUAUUAAUAUAGUGAUGUAAUGUUAGGAUUAAACCAAUUCUUGAACAUGUGUUCUAAUUUAAUAUAGUUUUUCAUUGGUAUCUUAAUUAUUCCACAUUCUAAAAAUUAGGUGUUUUUUCCCCAUGCCUAAAAACACCUCUGAGGAAGCGAAUCUCUUCCUCAAAUUGACUGAGACAUAAACUGUUCAUUUUAGUUUCUUUCUCUUUCAUUAAGGUAUGCUUUACAAAUGGGUUGGGUCACUCCUCUCACUCAUUGUUAUACAUUAUAUACAACCAUCAGCAAACAUUGUAGAUGAAAUAGCAGCUAUGGUUUUUUUUUUUCUUAAAUUUCAUGCUAUAUCUGAAUUAUUUCUUGUUGUGAUAUUAACUUUUUUUGAUUAUGUCUGUGUACUGUGAUACAUUUAUCAUGUGAUAUUGUUACAAAGUUGUAUCUCUCUUCAGACUGUAUCCACUUUUAAAUCAUGUAUAUAUAUAUAUGUGUGUGUGUGUUUGUGUAUGUGUGUUUAUGAAAAAAAAACACACACACAUAUAUAUAAACUUACAUAUAUAAAUAUACACACACACACAUAUAUAUAUAUAUAGUUUCGUCAUUCUAGUCAUAUUUCAUAAUAUUCAUUCUUUUUUAUUCUGUAUACCAUUAUUCCUUGCUGUCUUUUAGCUACCAGAACUUAUCAAGUUAUUCCGUAUUCAUCUAACACCAUCAAAUGCCCCAUCCACUAAAAAUAAAUAAUAAAAAAAGUCUAAAAAAAAAUCACUCUUAAUUAUUAUAAACAAUGUUCAUCCA